GCGGCACAAGGGCUCGACGUCCGCGGCGCCCGCUCCGCCAGCUCGUUUUGGGCCUCGGCCGGCUCCGUACGCGGCCAGUCCGCCCGCCUGCGUCGCUCACGAGACGUCCGGAGCUCGGCCCGUGCGUUUGGCGGGAACCAGCCGUUUUGUUAGCAGUAGCUGCAAGGAGCUACCAGUGGAGAUUAACUAACAAGGCGAACAGUCUUUGCCAUUGUGGAACUUACAGCCUUGCAGGGAGUAGGGACAAGCAUCUCAGUACAGCUAAUCUUGAUAUUUGUCCUCCUUGGGGGCUUGAAACAAGAUCAGUUACAGAAGAAACAACAAGAGGACACAGUUAUUUUUGCCCUCCAGUGUGCACUUCUGGCUUUCCCUCUUACUCUGCUUCCUGCCCAUGACAAUAGCUAGAACAUUUUAUAGCCCCGAUGAGUGCCACGUACUUUACAUAUAUUUAAUGCUAAAAACAAUGCUAUGAGAACUUCCAGUACUGUGUUGAAUAAAAGUGGUGGAUCCAUCAUAUGCCAUUAUAAUCAGCAAGGUGGGGA